rnacentral:rRNA from 1 species
AAACUGAAGAGUUUGAUCAUGGCUCAGAUUGAACGCUGGCGGCAGGCUUAACACAUGCAAGUCGGGCGGAAACGAUGGUAGCUUGCUACCAGGCGUCGAGCGGCGGACGGGUGAGUAAUGCUUAGGAAUCUGCCUAGUAGUGGGGGAUAGCCCGGGGAAACUCGGAUUAAUACCGCAUACGCCCUACGGGGGAAAGCAGGGGAUCUUCGGACCUUGCGCUAUUAGAUGAGCCUAAGUCGGAUUAGCUUGUUGGUGGGGUAAUGGCCUACCAAGGCGACGAUCCGUAGCUGGUCUGAGAGGAUGAUCAGCCACAUCGGGACUGAGACACGGCCCGAACUCCUACGGGAGGCAGCAGUGGGGAAUAUUGGACAAUGGGCGCAAGCCUGAUCCAGCCAUGC